rnacentral:rRNA from 1 species
GAGAAAGAAAAAUCGAUUCCCUGAGUAGCGGCGAGCGAAACGGGAAGAGCCCAAACCAACAAGCUUGCUUGUUGGGGUUGUAGGACACUCUAUACGGAGUUACAAAAGAACAUGUUAGACGAAUCAUCUGGAAAGAUGAAUCAAAGAAGGUAAUAAUCCUGUAGUCGAAAACAUAUUCUCUCUUGAGUGGAUCCUGAGUACGACGGAGCACGUGAAAUUCCGUCGGAAUCUGGGAGGACCAUCUCCUAAGGCUAAAUACUCUCUAGUGACCGAUAGUGAACCAGUACCGUGAGGGAAAGGUGAAAAGUACCCCGGAAGGGGAGUGAAAGAGAACUUGAAACCGUGUGCUUACAAGUAGUCAGAGCCCGUUAAUGGGUGAUGGCGUGCCUUUUGUAGAAUGAACCGGCGAGUUACGAUCUGAUGCAAGGUUAAGCAGCAAAUGUGGAGCCGCAGCGAAAGCGAGUCUGAAUAGGGCGUUGAGUAUUUGGUCGUAGACCCGAAACCAGGUGAUCUACCCUUGGUCAGGUUGAAGUUCAGGUAACACUGAAUGGAGGACCGAACCGACUUACGUUGAAAAGUGAGCGGAUGAACUGAGGGUAGCGGAGAAAUUCCAAUCGAACUUGGAGAUAGCUGGUUCUCUCCGAAAUAGCUUUAGGGCUAGCCUCAAGUGAUGAUUAUUGGAGGUAGAGCACUGUUUGGACGAGGGGCCCCUCUCGGGUUACCGAAUUCAGACAAACUCCGAAUGCCAAUUAAUUUAACUUGGGAGUCAGAACAUGGGUGAUAAGGUCCGUGUUCGAAAGGGAAACAGCCCAGACCACCAGCUAAGGUCCCAAAAUAUAUGUUAAGUGGAAAAGGAUGUGGCGUUGCCCAGACAACUAGGAUGUUGGCUUAGAAGCAGCCAUCAUUUAAAGAGUGCGUAAUAGCUCACUAGUCGAGUGACACUGCGCCGAAAAUGUACCGGGGCUAAACAUAUUACCGAAGCUGUGGAUUGUCCUUUGGACAAUGGUAGGAGAGCGUUCUAAGGGCGUCGAAGCAUGAUCGCAAGGACAUGUGGAGCGCUUAGAAGUGAGAAUGCCGGUGUGAGUAGCGAAAGACGGGUGAGAAUCCCGUCCACCGAUUGACUAAGGUUUCCAGAGGAAGGCUCGUCCGCUCUGGGUUAGUCGGGUCCUAAGCUGAGGCCGACAGGCGUAGGCGAUGGAUAACAGGUUGAUAUUCCUGUACCACCUAGUAUCGUUUUAAUCGAUGGGGGGACGCAGUAGGAUAGGCGAAGCGUGCUGUUGGAGUGCACGUCCAAGCAGUAAGGCUGAGUGUUAGGCAAAUCCGGCACUCAUAAGGCUGAGCUGUGAUGGGGAGAGGAAAUUGUUUCCUCGAGUCGUUGAUUUCACACUGCCGAGAAAAGCCUCUAGAUAGAUAACAGGUGCCCGUACCGCAAACCGACACAGGUAGUCAAGAUGAGAAUUCUAAGGUGAGCGAGCGA